GAGCGAGUGAAACAGUGCAGUGACUGAAGAGAAUUCUCUCCCGUUUCCCAUGAUUUAUCACAGGCGAGGUCACGGCAGGUUAAAAUACUUGAACGCCGCGAUAGCAUACGUCCUGGCAUGGUUUUAUGAGUAGUCAUUCAUAACAUAUUUGUCGCAAAGCAUAAUUUCCAAGAUAGAACCCUGAUCCACAUGCAGUUUUUUUUUUUCACAGCAACAACACAGGCGCAGUAACUCCUUCGUGGAGACUGCUUCCAUUUUCACAAUGUCCAGCUCCACGCUAGAGCUUCGGGGAAAGGGACCGAGGAAGUGACUGGUUCGCCAACUGAAACUACAAAUCCUAGAGCUGCAACUAUAUUUUAUAAAUGGCCCUCGUUUGGUUCCUGCAUAACAAAUAGUGUCCUCUCAUUGAUGGGGACUGUUUCAUGCGCCUGCCUUUUUGGAGAAAGAAAACAACUUCUAGUCUCAGGCUUGUAUGAAUCCAGCACUGUCUUUCACAACUUGUUUUCGCCUCAGCGACUUGACAUGGCUCCCUAUCCAUCGCCGGUCCCCACGCUCCACGGUAACGAGAUUUUAAAAACUGUCCAUUUGGCUCCUUCCUGAGGUUUUACUCAUUUUGAAACUUUGCCACGCUGGCUGGCAUGUUUCACAUUUGCUUAUCUCUGAGCUUACUCCCAAGAGCUGCUGAACUUUCCCUUCCAUGUCACUAAGCUGGGACAGAGUGAAGACGGAGAGGAAAGAGUUACUGUCUCACAAGCUGUGACUUUGUCUGUCCAGAGUGGCCCUUGGAUGCAGCUCAUUAUUUGUGGAAAUAGUGUGUGCCACGGGCAAAAAUAACUUUUUAAAAAAAGCACAUCUCUGUACCCUCCUGAAGUCAUCUCAAAAUGAAGUCAAGAUUUCUCAUGAAACGGAGAGAGCUUUAUCAUGGCCCGAGUGGGUCCUUGAGUACUUGUCCCCGCCACAUUGUCUGCUCUGAGCAACCUGAGGGUCCAGACCAAGCUAAAAGAGGCUUCAUGAUGAGCCCUGGGACAGACAAGACUGGGAGCCUUGGUGAAAGGGAGGAGACCCUGUGUCCCCGGUUUUGCCAAGUCAGCCUGGCCCAUCCUCUGACAGCUAAAUCAACACUCUUUAUCCUGUGGCGACUGAUAACGCAUCCACCGCUUCCUGCCAAGGAGGAAAUCCUGAUGGGACAUUAUCAGGGGCGAGACAUCAUCCGUCAGCCGCCGUCACAGGAACCCAGGGCUCAUCCAGACCCCACGCCAAUCUUUCCGCCUUUAUCUGCGCUCCCCAAAUGCCUCAGCCUGUUUGCUGAUAGAGGAAUCCGGCAUCUCCUCUUCUCAAGGACCCGAAAAAGAUUCUUCGAUAGCAAGAAACUAAGCGUGCCUUGCUCAGACCCCAAAGUGCCUUUCCAAAGAAUGGAUGGAAGAGGAACAGAUGCUGCCCUGAAGCUGCCCAUCGGACACGCAAAAGAAAAAGAGAAAACAGACAAGGUGACACCAAGAAGUCGGGAUGAGAAGGUGAAGAGACCCGGGAAAUCAAUGGCGACCUUGGCCAAGGCGAGGACAUGGAGUUCGGAAGGGGGGAUGGGGGGGUCCUGAGGCUGCAUAGACGCGCUGCCCUCUGCUCUCCACCUGUGCCCUGCGACCCAUCAGCUGAGCUCAGGCUGCCCCAGAAGGCGGUCCUUAAGGGGUCAGAGUGCAUGCUGACCACCCCGAGCUGUGCUUUGGACUCAGACUUACAGACACAGUCCCUCCCCGCCGGCUGAAGACCAAGGACCACCGCUGUGGAAGGCAGAGAAGUGACCUCAGGGAGGUGCAGUCUUGGGGAGCCCUGUCCCCUUGGGUGGGAGGGGCUGGUGAUGUGACCGAUGACACUGCCAUGAGCAGGGGACACUCUGUGGCUAAAGUCAAGAGGUUUUUUUGUUUUUUGGGAUAGAGUUGCUUUAUCAUGUUGUGUUAGUUUCAGGUGUACAGCAAAGUGAAUCAGUUCUACAUAUACUUAUAUCCAUUCUUUUUCAGAGUCUUUUCCCAAAGAGGUUAUGACAGAAUAUUCCAGAGAGGAGUUCUCACUGUGGUACAGGGGAUUAAGACUCUGACUGCAGCAACCCCGGUCACUGUGGGGGCACGGUUUCAAUUGCCAGCCCAGCACAGUGGGUUAAAGGAUCCAGCAUUGCCCAGCUUCAGCAUGGGUUACAGCUGUGGCUCGGAUUCAGUCACAGGAACUUCCAUAUGCCGGGAGUGUGGAUUUAUAAUGCUGUGCCGAUUUCGGCCAUGCAGCAUAGUGACCCAGAAAAACAAUAUAUAAUAAUAUUCUUUAUAUUUAUAUUAUAUAUUCUUUUUCUCAUACUGUUAUUUCACUUCAAUGAAAGUGAAAUAACAUAGAAUAACAUAACAUAGAAUAUAUAUAGAGAGAAUAUAUACAUUCUUUUUCUCAUACUGUUAUUUCUCUUCAAUGCCCAAAACCCUUCUGGGACGUGAGCGUUUCUAACCCCGUUUUCCAUGAAGACGCAGAGCGUCUCGAGGGACUUUAAUUACUCCAGGUCCCAGGGGAGCUGAGAUUCAGAGGAUGACCUCCCCGAUCCUGGAAGCUCAUGUCUCUCCCCUCCAUCCGUCACUUCUCAGGCUCCCUCUAGGCCUGGGAGUAGCGAGGACCAGCAGAAGUGCUGCCAAUCAGAUUGCAGGCCGGAGGCUGGGGGCCGCUGGGCUGCAUUAGCCUGCCGCUCCCAAAGCCCAGCAGAAUCAGAGAUCCAUUUCCCUAGGGAAGAGCCUUUCCAAGUUUCAAAAAAAAAAAAAAAAAAAAAGCCUGCCUAGAGAGGGGGAAGGAUGAGUCCCUAUACAAGCAUAUUUAUAUCCAUAGAUAUUCCACGCCAUAGGGGGUAUGAAUCCCAGAGGGCAGAUGUCACCAGCUACAUGCUCCGAUGGGAAAAUUGAGGAGGGCUAGGUUACCAGCAUUUCCCAAACACACUCAAAAAAGAAACUAUGCUCCCUUACACACACACACACACACACACACACACACAGGCUCUCCUCUCAGGCCUGCAGAGGGAAAACAGUCCACGCCUGUCCAGCUCAUCCAGGUCAGGCAGACCCUUCCAGUUAGCGCUGGCUUCAGCCGUUUUCAUCACAACUUUCACUGAAACAAUUCUCUGCCAAGUUGUCGUGUGCCUCUCCUGAGCCCUCAAGAGCAAAAUCUGCUUGGCUUUUUUUUUUUUUUUUUUUUUAAUAUUGCUCAGAAUCAGUUUUUUCCUCCACUCAGAUAAUUCAUUAGCAUUCCUUAUCCCAGGCCUCUCUUCCCUGCAGGGCACCUCCCAGCCACCGGCAUUCCAGAGCUGGCCGGGCUUCUUCCAGGCUCCUGGGCUCUUCCCAAACCUCCCUCCACUUCUUUUCAUUGCAGGGCAGGAGCCUGGGGCUCGCCAGAGAGCAACAACAUGUGGGUAGAGUAAGAGAUCCCUCUGUGCCCCCUGAUGACACAAUGCCCCUUCCCCACUGUCUGAACCAGGAAUCUGUAUGUUACAUCACAUAGCAAGAGGUGUUAAGGCUGCACGUGGAAUUAAGCUCGAUAAUCAGCCAACCUUGCAACAGAGUUUAUCCAGGUGGGCCCAAUAUGAUCACAAGCAUCCUUCAACGUGGGAGAGGGAGGCCGAAGGGAGAGGGCAGAGCCAUAUCACGUGAUAAGAUCUUGCCCCACCUGCUGGCUUUGAAGAUGAAUAGGGAGCCAAGAGACAAAAACCAUGGGCGCCCUCUAAAGCUGGAAAGGGCAAGGAAACAACUCGCCCCUAAAACUUCCACAGGGGAAAGUAGCCCUGAUAAUACUGUGAUGUUAGCCCCGGAAGAUCCGCUUUGGACUUCUGACCACCACAACCGCCAAGAUAAUAAAUGAGCAUCAUUUGAAACCA
rnacentral:lncRNA from 1 species